rnacentral:rRNA from 1 species
UACAGAGGGGGCAAGCGUUGUUCGGAAUCACUGGGCGUAAAGGGUGCGUAGGCGGGUCUUUUAAGUCAGGGGUGAAAUCCUGGAGCUCAACUCCAGAACUGCCUUUGAUACUGAGGAUCUUGAGUUCGGGAGAGGUGAGUGGAACUGCGAGUGUAGAGGUGAAAUUCGUAGAUAUUCGCAAGAACACCAGUGGCGAAGGCGGCUCACUGGCCCGAUACUGACGCUGAGGUGCGAAAGCGUGGGGAGCAAACAGG